rnacentral:rRNA from 1 species
AUACGAACUGUGCAAACGUUAUUCGGAAUCGCUGGGCUUAAAGGGUGCGUAGGCGGCAGUGUAGGUCAGAUGUGAAAGCCCACGGCUCAACCGUGGAAUUGCGUUUGAAACCACACAGCUUGAGGGAGAUAGAGGAGAGCGGAACUGUUGGUGGAGCGGUGAAAUGCGUUGAUAUCAAUAGGAACACCGGUGGCGAAAGCGGCUCUCUGGAUCUCUUCUGACGCUGAGGCACGAAAGCUAGGGGAGCGAACGGGAUUAGAUACCCCGGUAGUCCUAGCUGUAAACGAUCAGCACUAGUCCGUGGGGGCUUCCACACCCUCUCGGACGUAGCGAAAGUGUUAAGUGCUGCGCCUGGGGAGUAUGGUCGCAAGGCUGAA